GCCCCGUUAGUUCAGCCAGGAUAGAAUGAAACCCUGCGGAGGUUUUGACCCGGGUUCAAAUCCCGGACGGGGCG
rnacentral:tRNA from 1 species